rnacentral:lncRNA from 1 species
GGGCAUCAAGAAGAACAUGUAAACGUUUAUUUUUGCUUAUUUUAAUAAGUGAAUGUUGCUUUCCUGAAGUCUUACAUGCUGCUUCCUACUGUGCCACAGUGUCUUCUCUGAAAAAGACAUUGAAUCAGAUUUGGUUUGGCUAUGGAUUUGAGGAUAUCUCUAGAGACACGGAGGAGCUCAAGUCCUACUCUCCAAGAAGAAUGCAAGUGGAACUACUAAGGAAGUCAUCUGAAUUGCCCAAAGCUAUGGAGACGGUGGCGUAAAUUAGUUGAGGAAUGGAGCAGAAGCGUGGAUCAGGAUCUGAGAAGAGCUCCACCGUGCCAGUUGCUCCUGGGCUCUGUCCUCCCUGCAGCCCUGUGGAUGUGGUGGAAGGGAAUUCCACUUUGACAGUCCUCAUGAUCUGGAAGUUGUUGCUCCCCGUUGUCCCAAGCCAAACUUGAGAAAAUGGUGAAAAUGAAGAGGAAGAAGGCCAUGCCAUCCGUCUACUGCACUCAGUGCCAUGAAGUGCCAAAUGUGGGUACCAGAAAGGCAUAGAGAGAGCUUUCUUUUCAGCCACUGAAUAUUUAAUGGUGAGUGAAAGUUAAAACAUGCUAAUGUGUUGGUGUAAAAUAUUCAUGGCAGCUGCUUAAGCCUAUUGUGUUCCCCUGUGGUCAUAUA